rnacentral:rRNA from 1 species
ACCGAAUAGAUACCCGGGUAGUCCACGCCGUAAACGAUGGAUGCUAGCUGUUAGGAGUAUCGACCCUUCUAGUAGCGAAAGCUAAACGCGUUAAGCAUCCCGCCUGGGGAGUACGGUCGCAAGAUUAAAACUCAAAGGAAUUGACGGGGACCCGCACAAGCGGUGGAGCGUGUUCUUUAAUUCGAUGAUAAGCGAAGAACCUUACCAGGACUUGACAUCCAGGGAAGCACUACGAAAGUAGAGUGUGCCUUUUGGAACCCUGUGACAGGUGCUGCAUGGCCGUCGUCAGCUCGUGUCGUGAGAUGUUUGG